UUACUGAUGAAGAGUCCCAAACUGGGACGAAACAGCUGUCCAGUAC
rnacentral:hammerhead_ribozyme from 1 species